GACAGAAUCCCCAAGCGUUAUCCGGAUUUACUGGGCGUAAAGCGUCCGUAGGCGGUCUAGUAAGUCCGGUGUUAAAUCUCUCGGGCUCAACCUGAGAGCUGCAUCGGAAACUACUAGACUAGAGGGCGUCAGAGGCUGGCGGAACGCACGGUGUAGGGGUGAAAUCCGUAGAUAUCAGCAGGAACGCCGGUGGAGAAGUCGGUCUCCUGGGCCGUUCCUGACGCUGAGGCCCGAAAGCUAGGGGAGCAAACCGG
rnacentral:rRNA from 1 species